CAACCCUUAAGCCUCAGUUGCUUAGCAUUGGGACUCUACGACCUAUUAUAGCGUAGUUCCUUAAAGUUAGUGGCGGAGUUAUAGCACACUCUAAGCGUAGUAAUUCUCUCUCGCUUCUUGUAGUGGUUAUAGUUGCUAGCCAUAAAACACCCCCUAUUUUAAU
rnacentral:misc_RNA from 1 species